rnacentral:rRNA from 1 species
UAAUACGUAGGUGGCGAGCGUUAUCCGGAAUUACUGGGCGUAAAGCGCACGCAGGCGGCUUUCUAAGUUUGACGUGAAAGCUCCCGGCUUAACUGGGAGAGGUCGUUGAAGACUGGAAGGCUUGAGGCAAUGAGAGGGGUGUAGAAUUCCCGGUGUAGUGGUGGAAUGCGUAGAUAUCGGGGGGAAUACCAGUGGCGAAAGCGGCACCCUAGCGUUGUACUGACGCUCAUGUGCGAAAGCGUGGGGAGCGAACGGG